rnacentral:rRNA from 1 species
UCCAACCUGCCGAUGACUCGGGGAUAGCCUUUCGAAAGAAAGAUUAAUACCCGAUGGCAUAGUUCGUUCCGCAUGGUGGAACUAUUAAAGAAUUUCGGUCAUCGAUGGGGAUGCGUUCCAUUAGGUUGUUGGCGGGGUAACGGCCCACCAAGCCUUCGAUGGAUAGGGGUUCUGAGAGGAAGGUCCCCCACAUUGGAACUGAGACACGGUCCAAACUCCUACGGGAGGCAGCAUG